GGUAUUGAAAUAAGAUUUUAAAUGAGUGCUAAGAGAAUGAUUAAACAAUUAAAAGCUUUCUUUAAUUAAAAAAUUAAAUUUAAUUUUUUUAGUGCAAAAGCAAAAAUAAAAUUUAGGGACAAGAAGACCCUAUGAAUUUUUAUUGUUAAUAACUAAAAUUUAAGUUAUUAAUAAUUUAAUUGGGGCGAUAAAAAAAGAAUAAGUAUCUUUUUAGUUAUAAAAUAAGUUCCGUUUUUAGCGAUUAAAUGAAAUAAAUACUCUAGGGAUAACAGCGUAAUAAUUUUGGAUAGUUCAUAUAGAUAAAAUAGUUUGCGACCUCGAUGUUGGAUUAGGAUUCU
rnacentral:rRNA from 1 species